UAACAUUACUAAAAAUAAUAAUAAUAAUCAGUUUUUUAAAAAAAUAAUCACGAAAAAAAGGGACAUCCUCGGUUUUUCCGGAAAUUUCAGGCGGAUGUUCCAAGUUGCAAUUUUUUUUUUUCGAUUUAAACACAUACCUGUUUGCCUCCGGUGCCGCCGCCUCGACCACUAUACGUCACCCAGAUUCGCUGCGGGUUCGCCAUCGCUGGAUUUCUUCUCCCCUCCUUGGAUUGUUGGCUGUCGGUGAUGGGUUGUGGAUGUGUUAAUAUUUUUUUUUCUGUUCUUUUUUUUCAGAUUUUUUUUUUGUCAGAUUUUUAAAUUUUAGAGAGAUAAAAUGAGAGUGAAGUAUGAGCGUAAAAUGUGUCGUUAGUAUUUAUAUAUGAAGGGUAAAUACGGAAUUUCAAGCAAAAAAUGUGAGCGAAGUUUAACAAGCCCCUUUUCUACUAGUACUCUCUAUCUCUCUCCUCAUUGAUAAUUGUGUCAACUCAUAUACACUAUUUUUUUUCUGUGAUUUUUUAGUUUAGGGCAAAUAACUGGGGAUGGAGGGAGUAACACCUGUUCUUUAACAAAAAUAAUUCCAUGAUUUGAGCCGAUGUUUGCCAAAAACUCCAAAUCAAGCCUCUUUCUCAAUGUCGCCAAUUUCUCUCCCCAAAUAAACUGCGCAGAAGCUGCUACUGGUACUGCUACUACUAGUCUGCUGCAAAGCUUGAGCUAAGUGUUCGAUCAAAUGCUGAACUCAAGCAACAAAGCAUGGAGAAUCAUCCCAAGACCUUUACUCGAAACUGUUCUCAACAACCACGUCCAACAUCACCGCGUUCAUCAACCUCUCAUCCUUCACGGCCCUCGUGGCGUCGGAAAAACCACCCUCAUCCUAGAACGUUUAAUGGAGAAUUGGAACAAAGGGCCCCAUCUUACAGGGUAUGUUGAUUUUGCGCAACCAAUUAUGGAGUACCACCCAUCUCACAAUGCUUCAUUUCCAUGGUGUUCUUGGAAUUCCUGUUCUGUAACUCUUCCUUCUCUCUCUUUAUUGAAUACCCAUUUGGAGAAAUGCUUAGAAUCAAUGGCUGAAAGGGGGAUUGAGUUGGGUCAGAUUAAUUCGCAUCAAAUUUUUACUACCCUUAAUAAGUGGCAUGGGAUUAAUCAUACCCUUCGGCACAUUUUGAAAUCGUCUUCGAAUUCGAGUUCGAAAACCGGGGCGAUUUCGAGUAAGGUUUCGGCUUCUGUGUUGUGGGAUAAGGCGGUUUUUGCUUAUUCUGGUAAGCUGAAUAGUAAGGAGAUUGAGGGGGUUGUUGGGUUGGAGGGAGGGAAAAAGGGGUUGACUGUUGAGGAGAGGUCUUACUUGAAAGAGGCUGUGGUUGCUUUGAGAUUGGCAAAGGAGGUUAUAAGGGUUCAGCAGCAGUGGAGAGCUAAAGCUGUUGGUGAUUUGAAUAAGACUGGUGGGUUUUCGAGAUCACUGGCGAUGUCGGCUACUGAUUGGCCGUAUUUGUUGCUAGAAUUGUUGUCUUCAGCUUCUGAAAUGGAUCAUUUUCUGCCAAAGCUCGUGAUUAAUAAUAUAGAAGUCCUGAAGAAUGCUAUUUCGACAAAUGAUUCUACAGUGUCUGCACCAACAUACCAUGAUAGUUUAAUAUGGAGAAUUAUAUCUUUGGGGGCAAAUGAGAUGUGUCUUCCCAUCAUUUUUGUAACAUCUGAUAGCUACUAUUCGUAUCAUGCUUACAUCGAUUUUGGGUUUCCAGACAUUUUUAUAUCCCGUGAGACCUUUGGUUGGAUGCCCAAUGAAGGCAAAUUACAUAUGGUUCCUGACUACUUCAGUGGCUCAGAGUGGACAAUAGUUACUGAAGUGCUUGGUGCAAACUCACGGCAUUUAUUCGAACUUCACGCACUCAAAGAAAGCGACCGAUAUCUCAACAUGAUAGAUCAUAAACGCAGCACCUUUGAGGACAUAGUGGAUGCAUAUUUGGCAUAUCUACAGAUUACUGUGGUGAAUCCAGCCAUGGACAAAGCUUUGUCACUUCUACAAAAAUUCGCUCUUGAUGCACUCAAUGGAAAGAUACCAAAAGAUAAAUUACGUUUUGGUGCUCCUUGGAGGCAUCCUCCGCGCACAGAUGAUCCAAGUCUUCGUUUGCAGUGGGCAAAGGUUCAACUAAUGGAUUUCGUGCAGUCAUUGGUUAAUACUGAAUUUGGGCUUAACUAUUUUGCUGAUUGCAGCCUUGAAAUCUUUGAUGAUCCUUCAGCUGUAGCAUUGUUAGAGGUGGGUGUGCUUUAUGCUCAACGAGAUCCGUCCUUCAUUCGUCCAGUAUCUCGUGGUAUGCAAAGAUGCCUGGUGAGAUGGCUUGUCCAGGAGCAACUACAAAUGAACUGGUUUGCCUCCCUGCGUUUUCUGUGGCAAAGACUAUUCCGAGGUCGCUACUAUCGGCACUUGAUGUUACAAAUUGGCUAUAAAUUCUAAAUUGCACAAGAGGUAAUUUUGAUUAUGCUAUUAUUAGCUUUGUUUCUUUUUUCAGUUCUAAAACCAGAUAGGCGGAGGAGAAAGUUUCUUGCAAUUGAAAAAGUAUUUGAAUUGCUAGUCUUAAUGAAUAUAUUAGCAGCAAUUUCAGUGAUUUUUUUUUUUUUUUUUUUUGAAGCUUUGUCAUUUAUGUUACAACGGCUAGCUUUGACUCUAGUAGAAGAUCUGAUUGUACCAGGCCUUGCAAUCAUGAUUUUACUUAAAAUAUGAAGACUGUAUUUUGCAAUCAGUUCUCCUCCUUGGUUGCUAUUGUAUAAUCUUAUUUUGGUUGUAUGUAAUUGCAAAAUUUGCAAAUACCAUUGUGAAUUUCUGAUUGCAUAUGUUGAUACCACGCCACGAUGACUUAGAGGUGUUUGGUCUUCAUGUAUCACCAGCCAACACGAGGAGCUGUCCUAAGGGUCUGAUUAUCUGUGCAUGAACAAACAAAUGUGGGUACAUGACAAGAGAACUUGCUGAAUAUCAAUCUGAUCAUUGAUGUAUUACAGAAAGUUUCAGGAAGGAUCUGCGCUGUUUUACUUAAAACUCUUUCUUCGAAACUAUAGUGCAGUACAUAAGAGGUAUUUAUCUAGGAGUUUAAGUAGGGGUGAGCAAAAAUCUCAGAUACAUACCUGGUUUCAGACCCUGAAUCACUUGGUAUCUGACAAGUCCAGACUCACCGACUUAGCGGCUUUGGCAGGACCUGUUUUGAAUCCCAAAUACUGUACUCAGUUGCUAAAUUUGAUCCAGAUUCUCCAAUUUUUGACCCAGAACCCACUUGGUAAAAUCAGAAUGGAAACCAUUACCAGAAUUAACUUCUCAAGCAUUUACACAAUUACACGGUUACACCCAAGCCCAGGAAUAAAGUUUGCUUACUGCAAUUGGUUAGUAUAUACUGUUCUGAAGAAUGUGAUUAAUACAUACUGUACAUUCUUUUAUUGCUUUGUUGCCUGAAGCAAAUGGUAUUACAUAAAUUUCCAUGAAAGGUCAAAAUUCUUGAAGUUUGAAUUCUUUUAUUGUAUGGGAAGAUUGAAAUAACAGGGGUAAUCUGUACUAUUUUCUCGAGCAGAGGUGUAAUCAUGUGAAAACAGCAAUGUGUUACAACUUACAAGACUCUUCGUUGGUUGAUAUUGAAAAUUUAAAAA